CGAGUGGCGGACGGGUGAGUAAUGUCUGGGAAACUGCCCGAUGGAGGGGGAUAACUACUGGAAACGGUGGCUAAUACCGCAUAACGUCGCAAGACCAAAGAGGGGGACCUUCGGGCCUCUUGCCAUCAGAUGUGCCCAGAUGGGAUUAGCUUGUUGGUGAGGUAACGGCUCACCAAGGCGACGAUCCCUAGCUGGUCUGAGAGGAUGACCAGCCACACUGGAACUGAGACACGGUCCAGACUCCUACGGGAGGCAGCAGUGGGGAAUAUUGCACAAUGGGCGCAAGCCUGAUGCAGCCAUGCCGCGUGUAUGAAGAAGGCCUUCGGGUUGUAAAGUACUUUCAGCGGGGAGGAAGGUGUUGUGGUUAAUAACCGCAGCAAUUGACGUUACCCGCAGAAGAAGCACCGGCUAACUCCGUGCCAGCAGCCGCGGUAAUACGGAGGGUGCAAGCGUUAAUCGGAAUUACUGGGCGUAAAGCGCACGCAGGCGGUCUGUCAAGUCGGAUGUGAAAUCCCCGGGCUCAACCUGGGAACUGCAUUCGAAACUGGCAGGCUUGAGUCUUGUAGAGGGGGGUAGAAUUCCAGGUGUAGCGGUGAAAUGCGUAGAGAUCUGGAGGAAUACCGGUGGCGAAGGCGGCCCCCUGGACAAAGACUGACGCUCAGGUGCGAAAGCGUGGGGAGCAAACAGGAUUAGAUACCCUGGUAGUCCACGCCGUAAACGAUGUCUACUUGGAGGUUGUGCCCUUGAGGCGUGGCUUCCGGAGCUAACGCGUUAAGUAGACCGCCUGGGGAGUACGGCCGCAAGGUUAAAACUCAAAUGAAUUGACGGGGGCCCGCACAAGCGGUGGAGCAUGUGGUUUAAUUCGAUGCAACGCGAAGAACCUUACCUGGUCUUGACAUCCACGGAAGUUUUCAGAGAUGAGAAUGUGCCUUCGGGAACCGUGAGACAGGUGCUGCAUGGCUGUCGUCAGCUCGUGUUGUGAAAUGUUGGGUUAAGUCCCGCAACGAGCGCAACCCUUAUCCUUUGUUGCCAGCGGUCCGGCCGGGAACUCAAAGGAGACUGCCAGUGAUAAACUGGAGGAAGGUGGGGAUGACGUCAAGUCAUCAUGGCCCUUACGACCAGGGCUACACACGUGCUACAAUGGCGCAUACAAAGAGAAGCGACCUCGCGAGAGCAAGCGGACCUCAUAAAGUGCGUCGUAGUCCGGAUUGGAGUCUGCAACUCGACUCCAUGAAGUCGGAAUCGCUAGUAAUCGUGGAUCAGAAUGCCACGGUGAAUACGUUCCCGGGCCUUGUACACACCGCCCGUCACACCAUGGGAGUGGGUUGCAAAAGAAGUAGGUAGCUUAACCUUCGGGAGGGCGCUUACCACUUUGUGAUUCAUGACUGGGGUGAAGUCGUAACAAGGUAACCGUAGGGGAACCUGCGGUUGGAUCACCUCCUUACCUUAAAGAAGC
rnacentral:rRNA from 1 species